rnacentral:tRNA from 4 species
UCCUCCUUAGCUCAGUUGGUUAGAGCAUCUGACUGUUAAUCAGAGGGUCACUGGUUCAAGUCCAGUAGGGGGAGCGA